rnacentral:piRNA from 1 species
CCGCACGGGCAGUUCUCGGGCUGG